rnacentral:lncRNA from 1 species
GAGCAGUUCAGCCUCCUGGCACAGGAACUCCAGGCUUUCCGCCUGCACCCGGGCCCCUUGGAUCUGCUCACAUCUGCCCUGGACUGUGGGAGCCUUGGAGACUGCCCACCACCCCCCUGCUGCUGCUCCAUUCCCCAGCCUUGCCGGGGGUCUGGCCCCAAAGGAAGCCCGGCUAUGGAGGGCCUGGUCCCCAUAUCCAAG